GUGUCAGUAUAUCUGUCAGUGUGUGGGUGUCAGUAUUUCUGUCAGUGUAUGUGUGUCAGUAUGUUGAUCAGUGUAUGUGUCUGUGUGUGUCAGUAUGUCGGUAUAUGUGUCUGUGUGUCAGUAUGUCUAUAUGUGCCUGUGUCAGUAUGUCUGUCAGUACGUCUACCAGUGUAUGUGUCUGUGUGUGUGUCAAUAUAUGUUCCUGUGUCUGUCAGUGUAUGUGCCUGUUUAUCUGUAUGUAGUCAGUGUAUGUAUCUGUGUAUCUGCUUGAGCGUCAGAGUGUGUACCUGUGCAUCUGAGCCGCAACUUUAAAUACAAAUACACCCCUCCAUUCAAACUUCAACACUACAUAUAAAACACACUCCUGCAUUGAAGCGUCAACACUACAUACAAGCACACUCCUACAUUCAAAAACAAACACUACACAUAAAUGCACACUUGCAUUCAAACUCCAGUACCACAUACAAACACAUUCACACAAACAUACUCCAUACAAACACAUGCUUACAUUCAAACAUACUAACAUGGCUCAGUGCUAAAUACAACCCUGCAAGCAUGGGAAAUUGGUAGAGUCCCAGCUGUCAAAGCAUUGUUGGAGUUGCACGACAGAUGGGGUUCUACCUUUAGUCCAACCUUGCAAUUGGGGGUCCCAAUAUAAUUCAUUCUACUUUAGUACCGCCACUGCGUUGGGAUGGAUGCCGUGAUUGCAUACCAGGGAGUGAGGGGCGAGAGCGGCAGGGCACAGGGGGC